rnacentral:rRNA from 1 species
CAGCAGCCGCGGGAAUACGAAGGGUGCAAGCGUUACUCGGAAUUACUGGGCGUAAAGCGUGCGUAGGUGGUGGUUUAAGUCCGUUGUGAAAGCCCUGGGCUCAACCUGGGAAUUGCAGUGGAUACUGGGUCACUAGAGUGUGUCAGAGGAUGGUGGAAUUCCCGGUGUAGCGGUGAAAUGCGUAGAGAUCGGGAGGAACAUCAGUGGCGAAGGCGGCCAUCUGGGACAACACUGACGCUGAGGCACGAAAGCGUGGGGAGCAAACAGGAUUAGAUACCCCCGUAGUCCCUGUCUCUUAUAC